rnacentral:rRNA from 1 species
GUGACUGCGGGUGCUAUACAUGCAAGUCGAGCGCGGGAAGCGAGUGGAUCCCUUCGGGGUGAAGCUCGUGGAACGAGCGGCGGACGGGUGAGUAACACGUGGGCAACCUGCCUGUAAGAUCGGAAUAACCCCGGGAAACCGGGGCUAAUGCCGGGUAAUACUUUUCUUCGCAUGAAGAUAAGUUGAAAGAUGGCUUCUCGCUAUCACUUACAGAUGGGCCCGCGGCGCAUUAGCUAGUUGGUGAGGUAACGGCUCACCAAGGCAACGAUGCGUAGCCGACCUGAGAGGGUGAUCGGCCACACUGGGACUGAGACACGGCCCAGACUCCUACGGGAGGCAGCAGUAGGGAAUCUUCCGCAAUGGACGAAAGUCUGACGGAGCAACGCCGCGUGAACGAUGAAGGUCUUCGGAUCGUAAAGUUCUGUUGUCAGGGAAGAACAAGUACCGUGCGAAUAGAGCGGUACCUUGACGGUACCUGACGAGGAAGCCCCGGCUAACUACGUGCCAGCAGCCGCGGUAAUACGUAGGGGGCAAGCGUUGUCCGGAAUUAUUGGGCGUAAAGCGCGCGCAGGCGGUUCCUUAAGUCUGAUGUGAAAGCCCACGGCUCAACCGUGGAGGGUCAUUGGAAACUGGGGAACUUGAGGACAGAAGAGGAGAGUGGAAUUCCACGUGUAGCGGUGAAAUGCGUAGAUAUGUGGAGGAACACCAGUGGCGAAGGCGACUCUCUGGUCUGUUUCUGACGCUGAGGUGCGAAAGCGUGGGUAGCAAACAGGAUUAGAUACCCUGGUAGUCCACGCCGUAAACGAUGAGUGCUAGGUGUUAGGGGGCUUCCACCCCUUAGUGCUGAAGUUAACGCAUUAAGCACUCCGCCUGGGGAGUACGGCCGCAAGGCUGAAACUCAAAGGAAUUGACGGGGGCCCGCACAAGCGGUGGAGCAUGUGUUUAAUUCGAAGCAACGCGAAGAACCUUACCAGGUCUUGACAUCCUUGGACCUCCCUAGAGAUAGGGACUUCCCUUCGGGGACCAGUGACAGGUGGUGCAUGGUUGUCGUCAGCUCGUGUCGUGAGAAUGUUGGGUUAAGUU